ACUUAUCUGAUCAAUUUGAUCGAUUAAGGAUUGAAUAAAAUUGUUUGAUCGUUCAUGUUCACUCAUGUCAACCAGGUUAGUCAGACAUGAGGUUGUACUGACCUAAAUUUGAUCAGUCAAAUAUCAAAUGUGCUGACUUAGAUGAGAUCUGAAUCUAAAUCUUCUUAAGUAAAUAUUAAGUCUAGCGGUCUUCCACCAUUGUAGAGAUGCGGAUGUCUUUCUGGUGUUG
rnacentral:lncRNA from 1 species